rnacentral:piRNA from 1 species
UGAUAGAGAGUGGAGUAAUAUUUUCAUU